AAAUUAUAUCAGAUUAAAUAUCUACAAAUAUUUAAUUUGUUGUCACAUGAACUUUUUAUAGUUAAAGCUAUUUUAUUUUUUAGCAUUAAGUUGUCGCCAAAUUUGUAAUUUGUACGACGAGAUUUAUUGUUCAUAUAUACGACGAGAAUUAGACAGAAAGAGAUUUUACACUUUUUUUUGGUUAAAAUGAUAUGAUUUCCUAGGAUAUUUUUUAGAAAG
rnacentral:misc_RNA from 1 species